rnacentral:rRNA from 1 species
AUUUAGUAGCGAAGUAGCUGAUUUCACACUGUCAAGAAAAGUCUCUAUCGAGGUUAAAGGUACCCGUACCGCAAACCGACCCAGGUGGGUGAGGAGAGUAUCCUAAGGCCAGCGAGAGAACUGUUGUGAAGGAACUCGGCAAAAUGACCCCGUAACUUAGGGAUAAGGGGUGCCACCAUCAGGUGGCCGCAGCGAAUAGGCCCAAGCGACUGUUUACCAAAAACAUAGGUUUCUGCUAAGUCGCAAGACGAUGUAUAGGAGCUGACGCCUGCCCGGUGCUGGAAGGUUAAGGGGAUCUGUUAGAGCAAUCGAAGCAGUGA